CCAACAUGAAACAGAAAAAUACCAUCUCAGGCUCCAUAUUCCAUGUCCCUGUUGAAUACAGAUCCCCGAACUGAGAAAUAAGAAACAACUACAUACGAAGUAAUACUUGAAAAUGUUUCUCUUGUAAUACUUCCAUAUCCAAAGCAUUUGAAUAUAUUUAUUUUAUUGAUGUAGGUCUGCCAACUCUUCCUUCUCAGGAAGGACUGUUUUUAUUCCAAACAUGUAUAUAUAAGGUUAAAAUGUAUUUUUUAAAAUAAGAUAAUUAUUGAUAGUUGUUUUUAAAAUAGCCUUGCUUAGCAAAAUAAAUGUUGGCAACCCUAAGUUUGUUCUAUUAUAAUAUUAUUGAAAUUACAUUGAAUUCUGAAAUCCAUGUCAACUUGAAGUUACCAAGUUUUAACCACUGUUAGAAAAUAAGCAGGAAUGAAAUCUGUUUCAAGCGUUUCAAUUUCAAUACAAUUUAAUAAACAGGCUUUGAGCAUCUAC
rnacentral:lncRNA from 1 species